GCUCCUGUGAGCGCCACGGCCUUCUCUCAGCUUACCAAGCACAGCCCCGUACAUUGUAAAGCGGCUGUGCUUAGUAUCGCAGCUCAGCCCCAUUCACUUCUAUGGGGAUGAGCUGCGCCUAAGCCAUGUGACUGAUAAAAGUUACUUC